rnacentral:rRNA from 1 species
UACGGGAGGCAGCAGUGGGGAAUAUUGCACAAUGGGCGAAAGCCUGAUGCAGCUAUGCCGCGUGUAUGAAGAAGGCCUUAGGGUUGUAAAGUACUUUCAUCGGGGAGGAAAAAACAAAACUAAUAAUUUUAUUUCUUGACGUUACCCGAAAAAGAAGCACCGGCUAACUCCGUGCCAGCAGCCGCGGUAAUACGGAGGGUGCUAGCGUUAAUCAGAAUUACUGGGCGUAAAGAGCACGUAGGUGGUUUUUUUAAGUCAGAUGUGAAAUCCCUGGGCUUAACCUGGAACUGCAUUUUGAAACUGAAAUACUAGAGUAUCGUAGAGGGAGGUAGAAUUCUAGGUGUAGCGGUGAAAUGCGUAGAGAUGUGGAGGAAUACCGGUGGCGAAGGCGGCCCCUGGACAAAGACUGACGCUCAUGUGCGAAAGCGUGGGGAGCAAACAGGGAUUAGAUACC